GACGGAGGGAGCUAGCGUUGUUCGGAAUGACUGGGCGUAAAGGGCGCGUAGGCGGUUUUUUAAGUGAGGCGUGAAAGCCCUGGGCUUAACCCAGGAGGUGCGUUUCAGACUGGAAGACUUGAGGACGAGAGAGGAAAGUGGAAUUCCUAGUGUAGAGGUGAAAUUCGUAGAUAUUAGGAAGAACACCAGUGGCGAAGGCGGCUCACUGGACGACUGUUGACGCUGAGGUGCGAAAGCGUGGGGAGCAAACAGG
rnacentral:rRNA from 1 species